rnacentral:misc_RNA from 1 species
UUUUUUCUAUGGAUCGCAUUCUACCAAAUCACACAACACUUUUUUCUAUGUUUAGAAUUUAGACAGAAACCGACACCGACAGAAACAGAAUACACUUUUUGGAUAUUUGGAUUUGGAUGUAAAGUAAAAUGUAAAAUUAAUAUUGGAAUGUAAUUUGGAAUACAUAAAUAUAAAGCAUCAAAUGAAGUGUAAUAAAAUGGAAGUAAAACAAGAAAUUAGCGAGAAAACCUGUAAAAUAGAAAUAGAGUAUAAUAAUGAUCUUUUGGAUGGCUUUAAAUGUGAAAUUCAAGAGGAGUCUAAUAGAGAAGUUACUCUGGACAGAUAUGAUUCCUUAGACUUGAAGAAAUGUCCCAUAAAUACUGAACUAAAACAACAUGGAAAUUCAUUUGAACAAAACCAAGAAACUGAAAAAGAUGGCGCUUUUCAGUUUGAUUUACCGCACUUCUUUAAAAGCUGAUGUAGGGUGUUAAGAGAACUUAGUGUUACUUAGUUUUUUAAGUUUCCAUCUACAAUAUAAAAAAAACAUGUGUUCCAUCCCAACCAUAUUUACAAACGAGGAUGAGUAUUUAGCAUAUUUAUUAUGCUUGACGAAAGUCCCUCAACCUGACCGUUAGUAUAAUUAAAAAAUAUAAUAAUAUAUGCUUUAUUUAACUAAUUUUUAGGUAGAGAAUUUCAUGUAACAUUGGUAAUUCGGGGUAAUGUGGAGGUGUGUCCGAGUUAUACCACCCUCGUGAAUAUGGUAUGGAACAAUAAAAACAUCACAUGUUUUUAUAAAGUGGUGGAUGAUAAUCGACUAUCCAUCAUAAUAAGGCUAUAUCCCAUAUAAAAGGAGUAUUUUCUCUAUAUAUGUUCUUUUUCACUAUAGCAAUUUAUUAUUAUUUAUAUUUAUUAUUAUUUUAUUUUUAUUUUCUACUAAUACUAAACAAAUAAAAUUAUCAGAAUUCAUUCGUUUUUCUUUCUUAGUGUCAUUUAUAGUUACACAAAAAGAUGUUUUAUCGUUAAUAACAAUUUAUUGAUAUAAUCUGCGAUAGUUAGCUUAUUUAGGAUAUACAGUAUUUCUACUUUUUGGAGUCAAUUCGGAUUUAUCAGAGUUAAAAAAUGUAUAUAAUAUAUACAACACUUAUAAAAAUGUAAAUAACAAGUUUAUUCUAGCAUCAGUUUCAAACGGUUUGAAACUGAUGCUAGAAUAUAUAAACUUAUUAUAUCAUGCGUAUACUACCAUACAAUACACUCGUAUAAAAAUAAGAAGAAAAUUCUAUACUAAUAUUCUAUACUAAUUCUAUUCUAAUAUUAUAAAAAUCAAGACCAUAGAGGUAUAUAUUGACAUAGAAAGAGUAUCAUUCAAAGCAAAGUGGCGACACCAUCUUUCUUCUUUGGAUUAGUGCUGUUUCACUCUUACGCAUAUUAAGCUGAGACAGUUGUCCUCUUCUUCCGUGUAUAUACUCACACCUUAAUGUCAUCUUAGUUUCUCGGUACGAUGUGUUAGAAAAAGAUAGCGCAAACCAGUCGAAGAGACCGGAAGAGAUCUUGUCGUCAGGACGCGUAUAGUGAGGGCUCUCUCUAUGCUAAUAUUAACUCUAUGAUCAAGACCUUAUUAUGAAACGCUUAUUUACAAAUGAUUAAAAAAGAAGAAAAUUCUAGGAAACUUUACGUUAUAAAAUUCCAACACCCCCUACACACAAAAUAGAAAAAAACAAUGUUAGCACCAUCUAGUUUUCUAUUCUAUCAUUACUUAAAAUCUAACCAAAUUAUUAUGUUUAUGAGUUUUAUGAUGCCCUUAGAUUUUUCAUGUUGUAAGGUUUUAGAGCAUAAAGGGUGUAUUUAUCAAGUUUUGGGAAAAAUUUUGUUUAAAGUUCUAGACCAAAUUAAAAAAUUUAGGUAAGUACUACUUAGCCUGUUUUCAAUUGCAUAAUAUCAUGUUCCUGUAAGUUUGCAUAGGAAGUAUGAAGUCACCAUGUUUUCUAUGUGUUUAGAGAUCCUUUAUUUGUAUUUAACCUAAUUUCCUAGAAAAUUGUAAUUUACCAUUACGGUUGACAAGACUAAUGUUAUUUAUUAAUUUUUAAUAGAAUUUACAGUGUUAUGAUUUUUUUUGUAAACUAACACUUUCAGUUUUUGUUUCUUGUAUGUAUACAUUUAUUAGUUGAUGGUAAUCUAUUUUUAGGUAUAACAUGCUAGAAGUAAAUGCAGGAAAAUAAAAUGUAGGGAAAACUGGAAAAAUUUUAUCUUUACAGACAAUUUGCAACUUGUUCUACAUUCUUCCAAAUCUAAUGGAUUAAGUUGAUCAGGACAAGUCAUAAAAUUUGAUUUAUGGUCACGUUAUUAAGCAGAUCAAAGAUGGUCUACUGUUUUUCCUUAUGAGAGGAAAACCUCAUAUGAUAGAUGGUCUUAACAGCAUGUUGAAUCCAGAUGGAUAAUUGCAGCAUUAGAUAGAAACCAACCUUGGACAAUGGAGCAGUGUGAUGGAUAUUUGGGUCAUCCUUUGAGAACAAAUUCAAUAUAAAUUAUGUGGGUCAAUUCGAAAAGUGUUUUUGUGGUUCAAAAUAAAAAUACCAAGAUAUUUUGUAUUAUUUAUUUAUUAAAAAAUUAAAACGGCUCUAAUAAUUUUUAA